AUGAAUCUCCUCAGUUGGAACUGUCGAGGGGGUGGGAACUCUUGGACAGUUCGUGACCUUGUGAGUCUAGUGCAGGCUCACUCCCCGAGUAUCGUUUUUCUUUGUGAGACUAGGCAGUCUAAGAAUAAAAUGAAACGUCUUCGUACUAGGUUAGGUUUGAGAGGUUUUGAUGCUUUUGAUUGUGUCGGUCGUAGUGGUGGUCUUACUUUGUAUUGGCAUGAGUCUUUGAGUCUUGAUAUAAAAGAAAUAAAUGAACGAUAUAUUGAUGCGUAUGUAACUGGUACGGCGGGUGAGCCACCCUGGAGGCUUACCUGUGUCUACGGCGAGCCACGGACGGAGGACCGUCAUCGCAUGUGGUCUCUUCUCCGUGAUCUUCACCAAAAGGCCAACAUGCCGUGGGUCGUUGUGGGAGACUUUAACGAAGCGAUGUGGAGUUUUGAGCACUUCUCCGACACACCGCGUUCAGCAGGUCAGAUGCUUGAUUUCAGAUAUGUUCUUGAGGUUUGUGGUUUGAGCGACCUUGGUUUUGCAGGUCUGCCCUAUACUUUUGAUAAUCGUCGAGGGGGGCGAGCUAAUGUAAAGGUCCGCCUCGACCGUGCUGUGGCCAACAACAUGUGGAGAGAUGUCUUCGCUCAUGCCAGGGUGGAGCACCUGGUGGCGCCCAGCUCCGACCACUUGCCCAUCUUGCUUCGAUGCGCGCUCGAGGAGACGAGCUAG
rnacentral:rRNA from 1 species